rfam:Fukomys damarensis contig92474, whole genome shotgun sequence.
CUUGCCCUCAAGGAGCUCACAGUCUAUUGAGUUACUUUUCUGACUUUCCCACUAGAUUGGGAGCUCCUGGAGGGCAGG